rnacentral:rRNA from 1 species
AUAACAAUUCCAAACGACUGCUAAUACCGCAUAAACCCUACGGGGAAAAGGGGAGGCUCUUCGGACUUCUCGCAAUUGGAUAAGCCCAGGUGGGAUUACCUAGAUGGUGAGGUAAAGGCUCACCAUGGCGACGAUCCCUAGCUGUUCUGAGAGGAUGAUCAGCCACACUGGGACUGAGACACGGCCCAGACUCCUACGGGAGGCAGCAGUGGGGAAUAUUGCACAAUGGGGGAAACCCUGAUGCAGCCAUGCCGCGUGUGUGAAGAAGGCCCUAGGGUUGUAAAGCACUUUCAGUCAGGAGGAAAGAUGAGUAGUUAAUACCUGCUCGUUGUGACGUUACUGACAGAAGAAGGACCGGCUAACUCCGUGCCAGCAGCCGCGGUAAUACGGAGGGUCCGAGCGUUAAUCGGAAUUACUGGGCGUAAAGCGUGCGCAGGCGGUUUGUUAAGUCAGAUGUGAAAGCCCCGGGCUCAACCUGGGAACAGCAUUUGAAACUGGCAAACUAGAGUUUUGUAGAGGGGGGUAUAAUAACUCGUGUAUUGGUUCAGGGCG